rnacentral:tRNA from 2 species
GGGAAUGGUCGGGGUCGGGAUAGCUCAGUGGUAGAGC